GUGCCAGCCGCCGCGGUAACACUGGCAGCUCAAGUGGUGGCCGUUUUUAUUGGGCCUAAAGCGUUCGUAGCCGGUUUGAUAAGUCUCUGGUGAAAUCCUACAGCUUAACUGUGGGAAUUGCUGGAGAUACUAUCAGACUUGAGGUCGGGAGAGGUUAGAGGAACUCCCAGGGUAGGGGUGAAAUCCUAUAAUCCUGGGAGGACCACCUGUGGCGAAGGCGUCUAACUGGAACGAACCUGACGGUGAGUAACGAAAGCCAGGGGCGCGAACCGGAUUAGAUACCCGGGUAGUCCUGGCCGUAAACGAUGUGGACUUGGUGUUGGGAUGGCCUCGAGCUGCCCCAGUGCCGAAGGGAAGCUGUUAAGUCCACCGCCUGGGAAGUACGGUCGCAAGACUGAAACUCAAAUAAAUUGGCGG
rnacentral:rRNA from 1 species